UGGCAAGUCGACCAAAGGCGAAAGCAGUCCUCAAGGGCAUACCCGUUGAUCAAGAGCGAAAGUUAAGGGUUCGAAGACGAUCAGAUACCGUCGUAGUCUUAACUAUAAAUGAUACUGACCAGAGGUAGGAUUCUGUCCAUCUCGACUUCUCCUGGAUCUUAGGGAAACUACAGUCUUUGAGUUCUGGGGGGAGUAUGGUCGCAAGGCUGAAACUUAAAGGAAUUGACGGAAGGGCACACAAAGAGUGGAACCUGCGGCUUAAUUUGACUCAACACGGGAAAACUCACCAGGUCCGGAUACACGUAUGAAAGACAAGCUGAAAGACUUUUCUCAAUGAUGUAAGUGGUGGUGCAUGGAGG
rnacentral:rRNA from 1 species